GACGAACGCUGGCGGCGUGCUUAACACAUGCAAGUCGAACGGAAAGGCCCUGCUUUUGUGGGGUGCUCGAGUGGCGAACGGGUGAGUAACACGUGAGUAACCUGCCCUGUACUUUGUGAUAACUUCAGGAAACUGGGGCUAAUACCGGAUAGGAGCUCCUGCUGCAUGGUGGGGGUUGGAAAGUUUCGGCGGUUGGGGAUCGACUCGCGGCUUAUCAGCUUGUUGGUGGGGUAGUGGCUUACCAAGGCUUUGACGGGUAGCCGGCCUGAGAGGGUGACCGGGCACAUUGGGACUGAGAUACGGACCAGACUGCUACGGGAGGCAGCAGUGGGGAAUAUUGCACAAUGGGGGGAAGCCUGAUGCAGCAACGCCGCGUGCGGGAUGAAGGCCUUCGGGUUGUAAACCGCUUUAGCCUGUGACGAAGCGUGAGUGACGGUAAUAGGUAAAGAAGCACCGGCUAACUACGUG
rnacentral:rRNA from 1 species